GUGCUUACUUAGUAGCACACAUACAAAAAUUGGAAUGAUACAGCGAUUAUCGUGGCCCCUGUGUAAGACUGACAUGCAAAUUCAUGAAGUGCUUCAUAUUUUU